rnacentral:rRNA from 1 species
AUCUGGGCGGCGGAAUUCAGGAUGACGAGCGCGGCUUCGCGGCGCUCUCGUCGUUUGAUAUUUCCGUCGCCGAUCACACUCAGACGUCGCGACCUGUUCGCGGUCAGUCCCUGCUCCGGAGGAGCCGCGUUCUUCGAGUUCGUUGUGGGCGCGUUUCGGCGCGUUUCACGGCGAAGGCGCGGAUCUCUGGCUGGCCGUCGGACAGUACGUUCAACGGUGUCCGGUGUCGUCGUACUCGUGCGCGCGUGCACCGGUACCGGUCAGCGACGAAUUCUUCGGGCCUCUUUCCGACCCGUCUUGAAACACGGACCAAGGAGUCUAACAUGCGCGCGAGUCGCGGGGUGUCGAGCGACGCUUCGGUGCGUUCGUUAUAUUGCGAAACCCGUACAUGUCGAAGGCGUAAUGAAAGUGAAUGGGGAAGAUGGUGUUCCGAGUACACGUUCCGCGAUUAUUGGUAUUGCGGCCGGACACCCGCAUUCCCGGGGCGUCUCAACGGCCCGUCGUGGAUGCCGACUGUCGUCUCUCGGGACGGCUGUCAGUCUGCGACGAACCGA